GCUGCCAUGGGCUCAGCCGGGGACCGGCGGGGUGAUGCUGCGGCCGGAGGAGCCCCCGCUGCCGGCGGCUGAGGAGAGCAGAGCGGAGUGCGGCGGCUCGCCCGCUGCCUGACCCCGCCGCCCGGGGAAGAGGGGUUUUUUCAGUGUUCUGAAGCUGGCAUGGGAGGACAUCAUACUGAAGAACCUGUUAAUUUUCAGCAAUACCGAAAUGUUCCUGCUGGAGUCUUUAAUGUUAUAAAGAGCUCUGUGGUUUUCUGCUUUGGCUAUUUUUAAAGUUUUCUAUGCCUACCUUUCCAUCUUAAUGACAUGCCAGGAGAGCACUUCACAUUCCAACAAAGGCAAUGAACUUUUUGAGUGCAAGCAGGUGGCUUUUGGAAAACUUUGUAGAAGAGAUUUAGUGCUGAAUUUUCUUCUUUUCAUGUUCCUUAAUGCAGUGUGAUAAGUUAGAACACUGUACUCAUAUUCUGUGGGCCUGAACAGCUGACAAUAUAAAAUACCUGACCCAAAACUUUUUCUCAAGGAGCAAGGAGAAUCAACAGUGGCUAUGUGGGAACAUUAAAAUGCCAUCUGGAAGUGGUGCUGUUGUGCCUUCGGCUAAAGUUUUCAUGAUAAGUUAACACUGCUUUCGAAAGAUUCAGCGUCUCUUCUUCUCGCUACCUGUUGUCUUUGUUAGUGCUAGCCUUAACAUGGCUGUGUGAGGAAUUGAGUCAAAGAACUGAUCUGAGCUAAAAUGACAUGGCAAAGAUAUUAAUGGUUGGGUUUUGACCCAGAACAAUUUCCUGAUUCAUUCCACUGUGCCUGUCCUCUCAUGUACGAAGGGUUGGCUUUAGGGUGUGAGUGGUGGAAAAGGGUAGGCUACUUCUACUGCCAAUGCCAGCUUAUAGAAUAUUAAGGUGAUUGUGAAAUUACAGUCUUAACCAAGAAACACUUCUUACCCCGUAUUUUCAUCAUAUCUUUGAAACAUGUUCGGUGGGUUUUAUUUCAGAUCUUAAUGUUAAAUAUACAGUGAGUUCUAUAAUCACCUGGAAGGAGCUUCUAUGGUCUGUUUAGUAAGUACCUAAUUCCAGAUGAUGGUAAAUAUAUUGUUGGUACUGCAAUUUGCAACAGGCCCCUCUUAACCAUUUCAGAAGGUUUCUUAAAUACAUUGAGCAUUUAAAUGUUGUUCUUCUCUUUUACCAUUCAUAUGGAACUGCUAAGUAUUUGCAGUUGAGUCCUUUUUAAACAUGGUAUUUUGGCUUUUUAUGCCUAGUGUGCUUUUCUAGUAGCGUGUCUUCAAGAAAUGGUGUGAAGUGGUUUGUUUGCAUCUAUUUUCUAUUGUUUCUUACUAUUGUUGUCUUCUGUUACAUGUCAGGCUAUGUAACGCUCUUUAGUUCAGGACUGUGGAUCUGUUUUGAAUUAACUUAUUCUCAGUGGUGUCAAUAAACUUUGCUUCUGUCCCCUAA
rnacentral:lncRNA from 1 species